ensembl:snRNA U6 U6 spliceosomal RNA
GUGCUUGCUUUGGCAGCACAUGUACUAAAAUUGGAAAGAUACAGAGAAGAUUAGCAUGGCUCCUGUGCAAGGAUGACAUGCAAAUUCAUGAAGGCUUCCAUAUUUUU